rnacentral:rRNA from 1 species
UACGAAGGGUGCAAGCGUUACUCGGAAUUACUGGGCGUAAAGGGUGCGUAGGUGGUUCUUUAAGUCUGCUGUGAAAGCCCCGGGCUCAACCUGGGAAUGGCAGUGGAUACUGGAGAGCUAGAGUGCGGUAGAGGGUAGUGGAAUUCCCGGUGUAGCAGUGAAAUGCGUAGAGAUCGGGAGGAAUACCGAUGGCGAAGGCGGUUCUCUGGGCCUUACCUGACGCUGAGGAGCGAAAGCGUGGGGAGCGAACAGG